rnacentral:rRNA from 1 species
UACGUAGGGUGCAAGCGUUGUCCGGAAUUAUUGGGCGUAAAGAGCUCGUAGGCGGUCUGUUGCGUCCGCUGUGAAAACUCGGGGCUUAACUUGGAGGGGUCGGGCGAGACUGUCGGGCUCGAGGUGGGCAGAGGGCAGUGGAAUUCCGGGUGUAGUGGUGGAAUGCGUAGAGAUCCGGAGGAACACCAGUGGCGAAGGCGGCUGCCUGGGCCUGGCCUGACGCUGAGGCGCGAAAGCGUGGGGAGCGAUCCGG